AUAUAAUUUAAAAUUUAAUUUAAAUUAAAAUAUAAAUUAAAUUAAAUUUAAUAGUAUAAACAUAAGAAAAUAUAUAACUAGUGGGCUCUUCUGGGUUCCACAACAGUGCUUUGCCAAGCCUUUUUAAAUGCUCUGCAGUGGGUGGCUUCCCUUUUAUAGUGAAGCCACCUCCCCUAACAUUUGGUUUUUUUUCUUUUGUAGUCUAUUAUUGUUUUAUAAUAUAAAAUAAAAUUUUAUCUAAAUAACUUA
rnacentral:misc_RNA from 1 species